UGGGGAAUCUUGCACAAUGGAGGAAACUCUGAUGCAGCGACGCCGCGUGAGUGAUGAAGCCCUUCGGGGUGUAAAGCUCUUUCGACCCGGAAGAUUAUGACGGUACGGGGAUAAGAAGCUGCGGCUAACUACGUGCCAGCAGCCGCGGUAAUACGUAGGCAGCGAGCGUUGUUCGGAGUUACUGGGCGUAAAGCGUGCGUAGGCGGUGUUCCAAGUCUGUUGUGAAAUCUCCCGGCUUAACCGGGAGGGUGCGGCGGAAACUGGAAUGCUGGAGUGCCGGAGAGGUAAGCGGAAUUCCUGGUGUAGCGGUGAAAUGCGUAGAUAUCAGGAGGAACACCUGCGGUGUAGACGGCUUACUGGACGGUAACUGACGCUGAGGCACGAAAGCGUGGGUAGCAAACAGGAUUAGAUACCC
rnacentral:rRNA from 1 species